rnacentral:rRNA from 1 species
UGAGGAAUAUUGGUCAAUGGGCGGUAGCCUGAACCAGCCAAGUAGCGUGAAGGAUGAAGGUUCUAUGGAUUGUAAACUUCUUUUAUAAAGGAAUAAAGUGAGGCACGUGUGCCUUUUUGUAUGUACUUUAUGAAUAAGGAUCGGCUAACUCCGUGCCAGCAGCCGCGGUAAUACGGAGGAUCCGAGCGUUAUCCGGAUUUAUUGGGUUUAAAGGGAGCGUAGAUGGGUUGUUAAGUCAGUUGUGAAAGUUUGCGGCUCAACCGUAAAAUUGCAAUUGAUACUGGCAGUCUUGAGUACAGUUGAGGUAGGCGGAAUUCGUGGUGUAGCGGUGAAAUGCUUAGAUAUCACGAAGAACUCCGAUUGCGAAGGCAGCAUACCGGCGCUCAACUGACGCUCAGGCACGAAAGCGUGGGUAUCGAACAGGAUUAGAUACC